AUGGUUAAAAUAGAUCUUGCUAAGGCUUUCGAUAGGAUCGAAUGGGAUUUCAUUGUUAAAGCUCUAACCCGUCGAGGGUCGCAUGGUCAUUUCAUAAAUUUAAUUUAUGCGUGCAUGGCUAAUCCCACUUUCUCUGUUAUCAUUAAUGGUCAAUCCUAUGGGCGUUUUCAGAGUAGUAGGGGUAUUAGACAGAGUUGCCCUUUGUCCCCCUACUUAUUUGUUUUGGCCAUCAAUGAGUUGUCAAUUUCUUUACAGGAAGCCAUGUGCACUGACCAUUUAUCAGGAAUCAAGUUAGGACCAGGAUGUCCUUCUAUUCACUCACUAAUGUUUGCUGAUGAUUUACUGAUUUGUGGACAGGCUAUAAUUGCAGAAGCUACUCAUAUGCUCCAAAUUCUGCAAAGAUUUUGCAAUUUU
rnacentral:rRNA from 1 species